UCUAGAAGGAAAGAAAAAGCCAAGUAUGAUUAAUUAUUCUUUUAGUAUGGAAACCAGGCGCUCAUUUUUAAGCUAAUAAUUGUAUAGGCAUGUGCCAGUGUAUGCUAUUUGAUAUUAUGUAUGUACAUCAUUAGGUGGUAAUUAGCUUGGUUGCCAGUUUUUAAUACAACAUUUUAAAAUCGUUAUUUUUAAACCAUCUUUACCUUACCUCUAACCCUCUUCAGAUUUGAAUAUCAACAUGGCUUUCUAAGCCAAAGAGAGCUAAGAACGCCUUCAGAAACAAAAAACAAAGAGGUGAUACCAACUCCAUCCCGAAGUACCUCAGUUUUGGGCCCUGGUAAUUCCUCUACCGGUCCCACAAAGAACCCGUUGAGCUUUCUUCCAACACUAUCUUCAAAAGAUGAUGAUGAAACCUCUAACAGAUGGUUAGAUGAGGAUGGAGGUGAUGAGAUACCUUAUUGUGUAUCACCUGAUAUCAGUGACUUUGAUAUCAGUGAUUUUGACUCCUCUUCUGACUCAAGUACUCACCUACUGGAUAAAUCUUAAUUUCUAAAGAGAUUUUACAUUUCUGCCAUUUGUGUGUAGUAGUCUGUAUAGUCUACAUUUAAACAUGUUUAUAAGAUACAUUUAGUUUGGGUUCUUCUUUUGUAGACAGAGGGAGUUUUUCUGAUGCAAGUUGAUCAGCUCACUUCCUUUCUCUCUCAAAAUUAUGGAUUGCCUGUCUCCUCAACAGAUCCAGAUAAUGAAAAGUUAAAUUGUUAGGGUCAUUGAUAACUGAUAACCCAUCCAAAGAUGCCAUCAGGAGGAGGACAUUGGAAAGGCAACACUUCAUUUUUUUGCUCCCAAAGCCCCCUCGACACAUUUUAACAGUGCUUUGUAGGAGGGAUUCAGAGUUGGAUUCUAGGCAACACAGAACAUCCUCUUGAGAAGUCUUUGGAAAGUUCCUUCACAUCCCAAUCAGUUUCAGGCUAUAAUGUGUGUGUAUUCAUAUCUUUCUGUUGUAUUC